CGAACAAAGAAAAAGCAGGAUAAAUAUGCUGUCAGUUUUUUGUUUUUUUCUUUCUCUCAGAGGCAAGUCUCCACCAGCUGCGCUUCAUUUUUACUUAACGAUCUUCAUCUGAGGCAAAAGUCGCCUUUGCCAAGUUCAGCUCUCAUAACGGCCCAACCCAGUGCAGGUUUGCAGGUUGGCUGUGCCCGCUCGGAUCUCUGAUAUUGUUGGCGUCAAAUUGUCUGUGACUAAUGAGAGCGAGAAUGUAGGUGGAUAAGAGUUGCCGUGGUUAGAAAAGUGCCACAUGCCGCCGUGAUGCGCCGCAGCAUCAAAUGACAUGCUGCGGCGCAUUUCCAUCUGUCGAUGUUUGGCUAACAAUUUCGCAGUUGUUGUUUUUCCAUUAAAUAAAUAACGCAAUUAAAAUUACAUGCGAACAGGUUUGAUAGGGCUAGGGUUAUUAUCCAUCGUUCUCUUGCUUACCACCUCCUGUCGUUUUCUUCGGAUUUUUCGCCGGUGGCGACGUCCGGUCGCGAAAAAAAAAGUGUUUCUAUUGCGGUUUCG